CGGUGGGACGGACGGACGGGCGCCGCGGGUGGCGUGGAGUGGGGGGGCCGUUCGGGCGGACGGGACGGGACACGUCUCUGCUCUGCCUGCCGUGCCGCCGCGCUAGCUGCGUCCCACUUGACGACGUAGUACGUAGGCUGCUGCUGGCGUAGGAGGACGCGCUUUGGCUGGCGUAAGUAACCAUCUCGGCAUCGCGCCGUAUCUCUCUCGUCGCUCCCGGAUUUUGACGUUGGCGGGUGGGUUUACUUGUUCCUACGUGCAGCGGCUGACAUACGCACAACUGCGCUGCUGUACUCUCUCUUUUAUUCGGCGAGAGCUGACGGAAUUCCAAAGGCAGCAAACGGGCCUGGUUUAGCUGGAAGCCCAAGAGCAAAAGAGGAAGGCGCGAGGAGAGAAACGGGAUCGACACGAU
rnacentral:lncRNA from 7 species